AACCUGCGGAAAGGAUCAUUAUUGAAUAAACCUGAUGUGAUUGUUAGCUGGCUUUUCGAAGCAUGUGCUCGUCCGUCAUCUUUAUCUCUCCACCUGUGCACAUUUUGUAGUCUUGGAUACCUCUCGAGGAAACUCGGAUUUUAGGAUCGCUGUGCUGUACAAGUCGGCUUUUCUUUCAUUUCCAAGACUAUGUUUUUAUAUAUACACCAAAGUAUGUUUAUAGAAUGUCAUCAAUGGGAACUUGUUUCCUAUAAAAUUAUACAACUUUCAGCAACGGAUCUCUUGGCUCUCGCAUCGAUGAAGAACGCAGCGAAAUGCGAUAAGUAAUGUGAAUUGCAGAAUUCAGUGAAUCAUCGAAUCUUUGAACGCACCUUGCGCUCCUUGGUAUUCCGAGGAGCAUGCCUGUUUGAGUGUCAUUAAAUUCUCAACCUUCCAACUUUUAUUAGCUUGGUUAGGCUUGGAUGUGGGGGUUGCGGGCUUCAUUAAUGAGGUCGGCUCUCCUUAAAUGCAUUAGCGGAACUUUUGUGGACCGUCUAUUGGUGUGAUAAUUAUCUACGCCGUGGAUGUGAAGCAGCUUUAUGAAGUUCUGCUUCUAACCGUCCAUUGACUUGGACAAUUUUUGACAAUUUGACCUCAAAUCAGGUAGGACUACCCGCUGAACUUAA
rnacentral:rRNA from 1 species